UGGGGGAGGCAGCCUGAGGGCCUUUCCUGGGGUUGGAAGACCCCCACCUCAUCCCCAUUCUUGUCCUUGCCCAGGGCCUGGCCAAGAGGCCCCAGAGCCAGACCACAAAUACAUCCAUCAAUAAUCAAUCAAUGAGUCUCAAAUAGAGACGGUGAGAACUAGGCCAUUCUGGGAGAGGCGGGGUGGCUCCUGCCUAUUCUAAAGUCUGCAAAACAGGGUAGCAGUUAAGAACAUGGGCUUUGGAGUCAGGAGGAACUGAGUUCUAAUCCUGACUCUUUCUCUUUCCAGCCGUGUGACCGAUGGCAGGUCACUUUGCCUUCCGGGGCCUCAGUGUUCUCACCUAUACAAUGGGGAUGAGCAAAUAGGACCUACCUCCCAGGACACCUGGGAGGAUGAAAUGAGAUCACGUGUGUGAAGCUCUUAGCAUGGCGUGGGGGACACAGCAAGUGCAGGGGACGCAGCAACAGUGUGGCGGCUGCUACAUCACGGAGGCUGUAAGGCCAGACUCCUUGUCCCCAGUGCCCAGCUAGGUCCCUUGCCCCCCCGGCUCUGUUGUCUUUAGUGGCUCUUCCUCCUCACUCACUCCUCUGUGCAGUCACACAGCCCAACCCAGCUGCUGCACUCACCUGCUGCAUGACCCUGGGCAAGGUGCUUACUUUCCUUACGUCUGCAUUUCCUGAUUUAGAAAACAGGGUAAAGCUGCCCUGCCUGCAUGCUUCCAAGGCUCUGGCACACACACAAGGAUGUAGCCCAGCCCUUCCUCCAAGGAGUUCCAUGACAGGAAAGACAGAAGGGGAAAGAAAUACUUGCAAAUUCGGUGUGAGCUAUGACAGAGGUGCACGGACAUUCAGCAGGAGGCAGGCAAUGGCAUCACGGGCUCAGAGUACAGUGAGGGUGAAAGAAGAUGAUUCCACACAUAAUAGUUGCUCAGUAAACAUCUUUUCCCUUCUCCAGCCUUACUCUUUCCAUAUAGCCUAACUUUUUAGACUCAGCUGCUUUCCACCUCAGAACCCCAAUCUCUGUCCUUUCUGCUGAGCCUGCAAAAUCUGGAAGGAGGGAUAGAAGACGGGCCCCUUGGGGAGCCCCUCCUAUCAUCACCAACCUUAGUUAACAUUUGCUGUUUACUGUUUCCAGGCACUGGGCAGGUGUUCUGCAUACAUUAAAAUCUAAUUGAAUCCUCACAACAGCUCCACGGAACAGUUGUCAAGGCUGACCCAGAACCUAAGGGAGACAGACCAGAGGGAUAAAUCCAGUGUUUCUCCAGCCAGCCCUUAUUCCUUCUGGUGGUGUGUCCCAGUUUGCCUGGGCCUCUAGGCCAGCACCAGGACAUGAAUGGCCGGGAGCAAACACAUCGCGUGUAUGGACACAUGGACACACGGACACACAUGCACGACUGCUGCGGAGUCCACCAACAUGUGAAUGUCUGUACACAUCUGUACAGAACAAGUGCGCACACCCAUGUGUCUGUGUACAUGCACACGGGUCCAUUCGCACAUGUGAGGCCACCAUUCAUACCACACCCUGGGUGGGUCUUGAGUUCUCACCCACAGAGCAUUAACUGUGGCAAAAUAAUCCCAAACAACGGUCGAGUCAAAAAAAUCUGUUUGGCUUUGUACUAAAGUGCUGCUUGGCAUAUGGGGUUUUUGGCAAUACAUUUACCUUUCUAGGUUUAGCUCGGGCUGAUGUGGCUUCCUGCAUGUCAACCUCUGAGAACCUGCCAGAUGCCAGGCCCUCGGCAAGGCACUACCCAGACAGUCUCUCCACGCCUCACGGCAGCCAUGAGGCAGGGCUUGCCAUCCCCAUUUUACAGACAAGAACCUUGAGACAGCGAGUUCCCAUUUGCACAGACUCACAGGGAGAGUGAGGAUUCGAACCCCAGGGCAGUUCAAGGGUCGGUAAAGCUUGAGUGCCUGCAGGUGGGUUGUGAGCCAGACAUGUGACCUCCCAGGCGUGCCUCAUCCGUCUGGAAUGUGGCUGCCUCACCGUCUGGUCACGUCUGGGCCCCUCUUCUGCAGCGAGGCUGGUGGGUAUGGAGGGGCUGUGGUGGCUCACGCUGAGCUGCUCUACAGAAGGCCCCACACAGGGCCGGGUGCAGCGAGGUAUGAAAAAGGCUUUUCCCCAGCGAUGACGAACACGAUAGUGAUGGCUCAGACUAUACAAAGAACAGACUGACUUAUCACCACCACAUAGACACAGGCAUAUCCAUUCCUUCAGUAUUUCUCAAGCACCUACUAUGUGCCUGGCAUUUAAUGGGCUCUGAGGACCAUGCAAAUAGGAAUCAAGCUUGGACCCUGCCUUCCUUCCAAUAGCUUAGGAGAAUAGUGAUCAGGUGUGGAAACAGCUUUCAUUACAAGGCUGAAAAAACCUGAAUGCUGUAAGAGAAAUGCAGAUGAAAAAUGAGAGUCUACUUCCCACUGGGGACAUCAAGGUAGCCCUCCUGGAGAAAGAGGCUCCUGAUGGGUCUUGGAGAGUGGGUAUGAUUUGAUGCAGUAAUGAAAGUGAAGGGGUUCUUGGUUUUCUAAAGAACACAGUUCAAGACAUAGGAUGGGAUAUUGGCGGGUGGACAUAGGGAAAGCAAGUAGCUCCAUUUGUCUGUGGCAAAACUGUGUGAAGGGAGUGGCAGGAGGUAGGUUAGGGUCAGAUGACAGAAGAUCUUGAGAUGCUGGACUAAGAGCUUGGAUUUUAUAGAUAAGGGGGAGCCAUCAAAGACUGUCAAACAAGGGAAAUCCUUGGGACCUGUUUCAUUUAGUCUAGACUAAUCUGCAGUUGUGAACAAAGUAAUAGAUUGGAAAUAUACAUGCAUGCACACAUACACAUACAUGCACACAUACACAUACAUGCACAUCUUCAGAAAUGUGCAGACGUGGCAGACCCAGUGGCUCACACUUAUAAUCCCAGCACUUUGGGAGGCCGAGGUGCAGGGAUUGCUUGAGCCCACAGUGAGAACUUAUCUCUACAAAAAAUGAGGAUCACUUGAGCCCAGGAGGUCAAGGCUGCAGUGAGCCAUGAUCGUGCCACUGCACUCCCACCUGGGUGACGGAGCAAGACCCUGCCUCAGACAAAAAAAAAAAAUGUACAAACACACAUGUACAUGAAUGUACACUUCAAAAGCAAAGGAUUAAUUCCUGAACCCAGCUAUUUUAAAAUUCUGAAUUGUAUUUGUUUAUUUAAACAUGGCCGGGUACAGUGGCUCACGCCUGUAAUCCCAGCACUUUGGGAGGCCAAGGCAGGCAGAUCACCUGAGGUCAGGAGUUUGAGACCAGCCUGGCCAACAUGGUAAAACCUUGUCUCUAACUAAACAUACAAAAAUCAGCCAGG
rnacentral:lncRNA from 10 species